rnacentral:rRNA from 1 species
UACGGAGGGGGCUAGCGUUGUUCGGAAUUACUGGGCGUAAAGCGCGCGCAGGCUGUGUACCAAGUUGGGAGUGAAAUCCCGGGGCUUAACCUCGGAAUUGCUCUCAAAACUGGUACGCUAGAGUAUGGCAGAGGGUGGUGGAAUUCCUAGUGUAGCGGUGAAAUGCGUAGAUAUUAGGAGGAACACCAGUGGCGAAGGCGGCCACCUGGGCCAUUACUGACGCUAUAGCGCGAAAGCGUGGGGAUCAAACAGG